AAAAAAAACAAAAACAAAAUUUAUGAACAAUUUGUUGACUCUGAAAUCUUCUUCUUCCUCUCCCAGCCGUGCUCUCCUCCUACCCAGCCGCGGCAUUCCCCCUAUCCGCCGUCGUCCCCUUCCUUCGCCGGUGCAAUCUCUUUUCGUUUUCGAUUUCCUAGCUGUCGCCUUCUAGCCACCUUGUAGUCGCCAUCGUCGUCGCUGUUCCCUGCCGCCUUUCAGUCACCGUCGUCUCCUCUCUCCCAGAAGCCUUGCAAUCGCCGACGUCGCCUCCCAGUCCUCUGCUAAGCCUCUCCUCGGCUUCUCAGUUCAGGACUUUCCUCAGUUUCGAGUUCGAUCAUGUCGAAGGACAAGGACUCUACCAAUUUGUCACGCACCUUCAAAUACCUCUUAGCUACUCAAUUCUUGUCAAGAGGAAUUCCAUUUAUAUUCAAUACAUGGAUUGUAAGGCAUCUUACACAAGAGGACUAUGCGCUAUAUGCAGUGCAGUUUCAUCUGUUUAUCACAUGUGUUUUAUUUCUUAGUCGGGAAGGCUUCCGGCGAGCAUGCUUGCGCAUGGAAAUGCAAAGUGAUGGCAAUACAAAAGAUGUUGUGAAGCUAAUGAAAGUGGUGUGGAUGAGUUUCCCGCUUGGAAUAUUUAUUACAAUAGUGGCAUGCUCUUUUGUUCUAUGGUUGCAAGGCCUAAGUUAUUCUAGUUCACUUGGGCAAGCUGUCUUGAUAAAUGGUCUUGCAUGCAUUUUGGAGCUUUUAGCUGAGCCUUUGUAUAUUCUUUCACAGAACUUGGUCUUGCUUGAAUUAAGAUUGAUGGUUGAGACAGUAGCUACUAUUUCACGAUGCUUGACAAUGUACUUUCUACUUGUCAAGAAAUCUCAAAUGGAAAAACCAAUCAUAUUUGCAUUAUCACAAUCUGCGUAUGGAGCCUGCUUAUUUAUUGGUUACUGGGGUUAUCUCAUUCUAUUCAGCAAAUUCAAAUGUUCUUACCUUUUCCCAUUCAGAGAAGGAAAACUGAUUGACUUUGAUAAGCAGCUGUCCAAGAUGUGCAUGUUGUUUACCUUUCAAUCUUAUCAAAAGUUGAUUCUUCAGGAAGGAGAAAAAAUGGUGCUUGUGUGGUUGGAUACACCAUAUAAUCAAGCAGUGUAUGGUCUUGUGGACAAAUUAGGUAGCUUAGUGGUGAGACUAGUCUUUUUACCUUUUGAAGAAAGUUCAUAUGUAACCUUUGCAAGGUCUGCUUCAGGACAAUAUCCAGGGAAGAGCAAGAAAUUAGGAAACUGCUUGAUGGAGUCCCUCAAGUUAGUUUUGUUGAUUGGCCUUGUCUUUAUGGCAUUUGGUCCAAGUUAUUCUUAUUCGCUCAUUAGAUUGCUGUAUGGUGAAAAAUGGAGUGAUGGGGAAGCGUCAACUGCUCUCCGCUACUACUGCCUUUAUGUCAUUGUCUUGGCUAUCAAUGGAACAUCUGAAGCCUUCUUGCAUUCAGUUGCAACAGAGAGCCAACUAAAGCGUUCAAAUCAUUCAUUAGUUGUAUUCUCGGUGAUCUAUGUAGUUUUGAAUGUCCUGCUAAUAAGAAUAGCUGGGGCAGUUGGCUUAAUUAUGGCAAAUUCUCUCAAUAUGACCUUGAGGAUUUCAUACUCUGCUGUAUUCAUUAAAAAUUAUUUCAAGGAAUCUUCCUCAUUUUCAUUCUCGAGCUGCUUGCCUUCAGGAUGGACUUUUCUGUUAAUUUCAGGUGUAAUCACUCUCAUUUCUGAGAAUAUAUUUCUGGACCAAGAAAACUUCUGGCCAACAUUCAUGAUCCAUUUGUCUGUUGGGCUGGCUUGCUUCUGCAUUUCAUCUUAUGUGAUCUACCAACGGGAAAAACCGUUCAUCAAAAGGAUUAUUCGUUUUCGUGAUCACUCAGACUGAAGAUUUUUGCAAAUUUACCUGUAUGGCAGAGGAAAGAGCAUGGAUUACCAGGUAGUUUUCUGUGGCAUGAUAUGUUCACCCAUGCCAAUAGAAGAAUACUAACUAUUGAAUCUGAUUGAGCAGUUUGUAACAAAGAAAAUUAGUUGGUUUGUUGAGAUAAUAACCAAAAAGGAGGAGAAUGGAACCGCGGUGGAUCUAACUCGCUGACUAAAAUUUGUAAUACACAACACAACAAAUGUGGACGUGUAAGGCUACAAGAGAUCAUAAAUCGAGUUAACCUUCUAGCCAGAUUCAGGUCAGUUGAAAACUAACUAAAUGGGUGUGCUACUGUGCUCACAUUUUCUAAUCUGAUACGCUAAAAAUAUCAUCCCAUCCCGUUUUAUUUGUACGUAUCACACACUCCAAAUAAUGCGGAAUUGCUGAAAUUUUGAAGUAAAACAAAACUUGGGAAAUUCUCGAUUGUUUAUCCAAUAUACUUAGGGCUAAAAGCCUGUGGAAUGAUUAAAAAUUAAUAGAGUAUGGUGAGUAUAGGUGAAAAGUGAGAGAAAAUGAAUAACAUACAAAGGAAAAUGGCCAACUAAGACACCUGAAAGUAGUGAAGAUUGAUCGAGGUGUAUUUGAUAUCGCCGCUUUAUUUGAUGUUUGUAGGGAUAAAAUUUGCAGCAAUUAUACUAAUCAGAUGAAGGGGAAAAAACAAAUAAUAAAAUUGAAAACCUUCACUACCAAACAAGAAAAAAUAUAAAGCUUAAUCCCAAUUUAUAAUCUAAAACGUGAAGAUAGCGGCGGAGGUAAUUUUCUCUUCACUGAUAUGAAAUUUGCUAUACAUCACUUUCCAAAAACGAAAGAAUGGAAAAUAAAAUAUUUUUGAGGAGUAAGCUUUUGAUUAAGGUAGGGUUUGAGCAUCUGGUUUUUGUCCUGGGAAGUAAAAAUGGAGAUAGUGUAGUAAAAAGUAAAUACCACAUUUUUUUUGUUUCUUCUUGUUAGAGUCUUAGAGAUGUAAAAAUUAGUUUUAAAAUUUUUACUGAGAUAGUCUCUUGUAAAAAUUGCUUGAGAUAGAUUUUUUUUUAAAUAUUUUUUCUUUUACUGUCUCUAUCCCCUUCUCCAAACAAACAAACCUCAAUGUAGCAAAUGGGAUAGGGAGAGAAUCUUAAAAGUCAAAACCAAUUCACAAAAAGCAGAACAGUGAUGAAGGAGACGGUCAGAAAGAAACAAAGGUUAUGAUUCAUAGGACACCCACUCUGCCACGAGUAUGUUGGUUGGCCUCCAUUGUCACUAGAAACGACCAACAAUGGUAAUUAUAAGCUUUGAAAGCUGAAGAAAAGUUGAAAGAGCGUAGGGGGGAAAAUAUGAAGCUUAUUAUUAACUUGUAGACUAGGCUUCCAUAAUGGACGAGUAUCCAACAAAGAAAAUAAGUAUAAAGUGAGCUCCAUUUUCUUAAACAACAUUAUGCUAUUUUUUGAGUUUUCAUCUUUGCUUAAUA